AUUGAACGCUGGCGGCGUGCUUAACACAUGCAAGUCGUGCGGUAACAGGCGUAGCAAUACGUGCUGACGAGCGGCGAACGGGUGCGUAAUACAUGGGAAUCUGCCCUUUAGUGGGGAAUAACCCGGCGAAAGCCGGGCUAAUGCCGCAUAAGAUCUUCGGAUGAAAGCGGGGGAUCGUAAGACCUCGCGCUGAUGGAUGAGCCCAUGCCGGAUUAGCAGUUGGUGAGGUAACGGCUCACCAAGGCGACGAUCCGUAGCUGGUCUGAGAGGACGGCCAGCCACACUGGGACUGAGACACGGCCCAGACUCCUACGGGAGGCAGCAGUGGGGAAUAUUGGACAAUGGGCGAAAGCCUGAUCCAGCGACGCCGCGUGUGUGAAGAAGGCCU
rnacentral:rRNA from 1 species